UGGGGGAUAUUGCACAAUGGGCGAAAGCCUGAUGCAGCGACGCCGCGUGGGGGAUGAAGGUUUUCGGGUUGUAAACCUCUUUCGCUAUCGAACAAGGCCCGCUUAGGGUGGGUUGAGGGUAGGUGGAGAAGAAGCGCCGGCUAACUCCGUGCCAGCAGCCGCGGUAAUACGUAGGGCGCGAGCGUUGUCCGGAAUUAUUGGGGGUAAAGGGCUUGUAGGCGGCUUGUUGCGUCUGCUGUGAAAACGCGGGGCUUAACUUCGCGCGUGCAGUGGGUACGGGCAGGCUUGAGUGUGGGAGGGGUGAAUGGAAUUCCAGGUGUAGCGGUGGAAUGCGCAGAUAUCUGGAGGAACACCGAUGGCGAAGGCAGGUCACUGGGCCAUUACUGACGCUGAGGAGCGAAAGCAUGGGUAGCGAACAGG
rnacentral:rRNA from 1 species